rnacentral:rRNA from 1 species
CGCGGGCUUCGGCCUGGCGGCGAGUGGCGAACGGGUGAGUAAUAUAUCGGAACGUACCCAAGAGUGGGGGAUAACGUAGCGAAAGUUACGCUAAUACCGCAUACGAUCUAAGGAUGAAAGCAGGGGACCGCAAGGCCUUGUGCUCCUGGAGCGGCCGAUAUCUGAUUAGCUAGUUGGUGAGGUAAAGGCUCACCAAGGCAACGAUCAGUAGCUGGUCUGAGAGGACGACCAGCCACACUGGAACUGAGACACGGUCCAGACUCUUACGGGAGGCAGCAGUGGGGAAUUUUGGACAAUGGGGGCAACCCUGAUCCAGCAAUGCCGCGUGAGUGAAGAAGGCCUUCGGGUUGUAAAGCUCUUUUGUCAGGGAAGAAAAGGUCGUGGCUAAUAUCCACGACUGCUGACGGUACCUGAAGAAUAAGCACCGGCUAACUACGUGCCAGCAGCCGCGGUAAUACGUAGGGUGCAAGCGUUAAUCGGAAUUACUGGGCGUAAAGCGUGCGCAGGCGGUUUCGUAAGUCUGUCGUGAAAUCCCCGGGCUUAACCUGGGAAUGGCGAUGGAGACUGCGAGGCUAGAGUUUGGCAGAGGGGGGUAGAAUUCCACGUGUAGCAGUGAAAUGCGUAGAGAUGUGGAGGAACACCGAUGGCGAAGGCAGCCCCCUGGGUCAAAACUGACGCUCAUGCACGAAAGCGUGGGGAGCAAACAGGAUUAGAUACCCUGGUAGUCCACGCCCUAAACGAUGUCUACUAGUUGUUGGGUCUUAAUUGACUUAGUAACGCAGCUAACGCGUGAAGUAG